rnacentral:lncRNA from 1 species
AUUAUAAUUUAUUUUUUUGUAUAUGUAAUUCAUAGAAUUGUGUAUAUAUAUGUAUCGUGCUAGUGCCAAUAAAUAAAAUUAUUUGGUGUUGAGUUUGCAAAUAUAUCAAUCUAACAUAUAUGAUUUUCGAUCCUCUAUAUUGAUUUCUCAAUUCCAUCACAUGUUUUCCCCCUUAAAAUCUUUCAAUACAUAAGAGGAAGUACUCAAAGACGUAAACAAUUCAAUACUUAUUAUAGUAACUUUGAAAAAGAACACUAAUUUAAUUCAUCCAAAUUAUAGAUAAAUCGAUGGUAGCAACUUUUAACAAAGAAAGAUCAGAAACUACAUUUACUUAUAAUAAAAUAAAAUUGCAUCUCAUAUUCUUUGGUAUUUAAUAUAAAAAGUAGUGAAUAAAAAUAUGCAAUUUUUCUCUUUGCAUCAUGUAGUUUACUCUAUGUCAAUCUCUUUUGUUGUUCAUUGUCAAAUUUCCAAGUAAUAGGAUUGAAUUAAUGAAGAAAAAGAAAAAGCUCACCUAUAUAUUUGAGAUAAACUUCAUAUAAA